rnacentral:misc_RNA from 1 species
AACGCACGAGACCUGCGGACCUGCGGAGGGAUCAUUACCGAGUGUGGCCCUUUUUUAAUGGGGGUGCCUCCCGUCCUUUGCAGGCCCUUAGGGGCUUUUUGACUUUGCUUCGGCGGGGCUGCCCCGCCGGAACACCCUCAAGAAAAUCUCAAAAAAAGAAACCGUGCAGUCCGAGGGCUUGCGAAUAAACAAAAACUUUCAACAAUGGAUCUCU